CCUACGGGUGGCAGCAGUGAGGAAUAUUGGUCAAUGGGCGAGAGCCUGAACCAGCCAAGUCGCGUGAAGGAUGACGGCCCUACGGGUUGUAAACUUCUUUUGUCAGGGAGCAAUUGAGUCCACGUGUGGUCUUAGCGAGAGUACCUGAAGAAAAAGCAUCGGCUAACUCCGGGCCAGCAGCCGCGGUAAUACGGAGGAUGCGAGCGUUAUCCGGAUUUAUUGGGUUUAAAGGGUGCGGAGGCGGAAUAUUAAGUCAGCGGUAAAAAUUCGGGGCUCAACCCCGUCGUGCCGUUGAAACUGAUGUUCUUAGGUGGGCGAGAAGUAAGCGGAAUGCGUGGGGUAGCGGUGAAAUGCA
rnacentral:rRNA from 1 species